UGAGGAAUAUUGGUCAAUGGGCGAAAGCCUGAACCAGCCAUGCCGCGUGCAGGAUGACUGCCCUAUGGGUUGUAAACUGCUUUUGUAUAGGAAGAAACCCUCGAACGUGUUCAAGGUUGACGGUACUAUGCGAAUAAGGAUCGGCUAACUCCGUGCCAGCAGCCGCGGUAAUACGGAGGAUCCAAGCGUUAUCCGGAUUUAUUGGGUUUAAAGGGUGCGCAGGCGGACCUAUAAGUCAGUGGUGAAAGCCCGCAGCUUAACUGCGGAACUGCCAUUGAUACUGUUGGUCUUGAGUAUAUUUGGAGUAGGCGGAAUGUGACGUGUAGCGGUGAAAUGCUUAGAUAUGUCACAGAACACCAAUCGCGAAGGCAGCUUACUAAACUAUAACUGACGCUCAGGCACGAAAGCGUGGGGAUCAAACAGG
rnacentral:rRNA from 1 species